UGCGUAGGCGGAUUAAUAAGUCAGUGGUGAAAACCUGCAGCUUAACUGUAGACUUGCCAUUGAUACUGUUAGUCUUGAGUACGGUCAAGGUAGGCGGAAUGUGUAAUGUAGCGGUGAAAUGCUUAGAUAUUACACAGAACACCGAUUGCGAAGGCAGCUUACUGGGCCAUUACUGACGCUGAGGCACGAAAGCGCGGGUAGCGAACAGGAUUAGAUACCCUGGUAGUCC
rnacentral:rRNA from 1 species